AGUGAACGCUGGCGGUAGGCCUAACACAUGCAAGUCGAACGGCAGCACAGUAAGAGCUUGCUCUUACGGGUGGCGAGUGGCGGACGGGUGAGGAAUACAUCGGAAUCUACUUUUUCGUGGGGGAUAACGUAGGGAAACUUACGCUAAUACCGCAUACGACCUACGGGUGAAAGCAGGGGAUCUUCGGACCUUGCGCGACUGAAUGAGCCGAUGUCGGAUUAGCUAGUUGGCGGGGUAAAGGCCCACCAAGGCGACGAUCCGUAGCGGGUCUGAGAGGAUGAUCAGCCACACGGGAACUGAGACACGGUCCAGACUCCUACGGGAGGCAGCAGUGGGGAAUAUUGGACAAUGGGCGAAAGCCUGAUCCAGCCAUACCGCGUGGGUGAAGAAGGCCUUCGGGUUGUAAAGCCCUUUUGUUGGGAAAGAAAAGCAGCAGGUUAAUACCCCGCUGUUCUGACGGUACCCAAAGAAUAAGCACCGGCGAACUUCGU
rnacentral:rRNA from 1 species